UGAAGCACUUUGGAUAAGGGAGACACUGCCUAAGAAGACUUCAGGUUGGUGACAGUCCUGGAAGUCUCCCUGAGGCAGAAAGUUUUACAGUAAAUGAGGAACAGCCACCUUUAUCAGAUAUCUAUUUCUGAAAGCCUGACAUUGGCAGGAGAACUCGACAAAGGCAAAGACCUGCGUUGGCUCUGACAGGAGUACGUUCUGAAAAGUUAAUAUCACACCAGAGACAGUUUAUUUUAAAGGCAGGUUGAAACAGACCUGCUACCCUGCAGACUUGAAUGCAACAAAUGAAAUGCAAACUGAGCUCAGCUCCUGCAAGACCCAUUGAAACUGCCCUCCUAUAAAGGGUCUCACUAAGUUGUCCAUGCUGGCCUCAAACUUGAGAUUCUCCUGCCUCAGCCUCCCUGGUAACUACAAUUAUAGGCAUAUGCCAUGCACCAGGCUUCAAGGUUAAGGCACGUUACAGUUACAGGCACAAUUAACAACAUUAAGAUAUACUUCUUGGGGACAUGUGUGUGAGUUGGAACCUCAGAGGCAAAUCUACAUGUGACCUGCAGGUCUCACUUCACACAGUUCCCACCCGUGGCAGCUGUUGGGAGCAACAGAAGAAAGAAGAUGCCACCAACGGUCCCUCUCCUGUGGUCUGCAGGCAUGUGAGCGUCUCCUCUUGGUGGGAACUUGGUCAGGAGGGUACCACUUCCCCUUGGCCGGGAAUUCCAGGGCUGAUGUGGUGAUGUGAUUUGACAUAAGAGGUUGUGAUCGACGCAGAAGAAAACUGGGAAUAGAGCAGAGUUCGGCUGACUCACCGUCUUGUGCUCUCGCCACACUGCCCAUGACAGAGGCAGGGGAAGGUGGCUCAGACGGGUCCUCCUGCCCCACUGGCUGGUGCCCCUCUCUCUGCGCUUCUUGCUCCUCCACUCCAAAGGUGCCUGAUCCCAACCUCGUUUCAGCCCACUGCACUGCACCCUGGUAAGUUGGCGUGUCACUGGUACUCUGGAAGUGCUGAUUGAGUGCACCCAUCUUCCCACUCUCCUUCUCCACCACCCUGAUUCUCGGCACAUCCCUGCUUAACAACUCCAGCCCCCUCCUAUCCCGUGCUCGAAAUCCAACCUCAGGGAAUUAGAAGGAUUCUGCCAAAAAGAACGCCAUAUUCCCACUCCUCCGGUGCUGGUUCCACACCCAUUGCCACCAAAAUACAAAACCACAAGUAUCCAAAAAAAGUUCUUCAGCUUCAGAUAAACAGAAUGGGUGAGAAAAAGGCAUGGACACAAUGAAAGAAGACAGGAGGAAAGAUAUUGGGUCCAUUUGCCCCGAAAACUGUGUCCCACUUGGCCCUGACCCUACCAUCAGAAUAGACACUUUUUCCUGUGCCCCAGCUGCUCGUGAGCCUGGACUGCUCUCGUUCCUCCAUCUUCUUCUGGCCCAUCCUUUCCCACAAAGCCUCCAAAGCUGCUCAUGACAGAGUUUGUAUUAUGAUUUCACUGCUCCUCUGUACGUAUCUUAUCUUCUCCCUGUUAUGAAACUCUCUGAGAACUGAGACCACAUUCCUGAAUGUAUCCAAGCAUAUCAGGUUUGGGACUGAGACCUGGGAAACAUGCCCAGAUCAACCCUUUGGUGCUGAUAUGACCAUGGUUAAGGCCAAUAAUAAUCUCUAUCUUAUAGGACUACCAGGAAUAGUAAAUGAGUCAAUAUAUGUAAUUAGUUAUUUCUCGACCACUAACAUCCCAUUCUUCACAAUACCUAU